rnacentral:misc_RNA from 1 species
GAUGAAGAACGUAGUGAAAUGCGAUACUUGGUGUGAAUUGCAGAAUCCCGUGAACCAUCGAGUCUUUGAACGCAAGUUGCGCUCGAAGCCACUAGGCCGAGGGCACGCCUGCCUGGGCGUCACACGCCGUUGCCCCCCCAUCUACUCCUUCGGGAUUGCGGGGGGGCGGAUGAUGGCCUCCCGUGCGCCUAGCCGCGCGGUUGGCAUAAAUACCAAGUCCUCGGCGACGCACGCCACGACAAUCGGUGGUUGCGAAACCUCGGUUGCCCGUCGUGUGCGUUCGUCGCGCAUCGAGGGCUCGAAAAAAUGCUCGGCUCCGGCUGGGCUUUCAACGCGACCCCAGGUCAGGCGGGGUUACCCGCUGAAUUUAAGCAUAUCAAUAAGCGGAGGA